rnacentral:rRNA from 1 species
GUGGGGAAUAUUGGGCAAUGGGCGAAAGCCUGACCCAGCAACGCCGCGUGAAGGAAGAAGGCUUUCGGGUUGUAAACCUCUGUCCUUGGUGACGAAACAAAUGACGGUAGCCAAGGAGGAAGCCCCGGCUAACUACGUGCCAGCAGCCGCGGUAAUACGUAGGGGGCGAGCGUUGUCCGGAAUUACUGGGCGUAAAGGGUGCGUAGGUGGCCUUUUAAGUUGGAUGUGAAAUACCCGGGCUUAACUUGGGGGGUGCAUCCAAAACUGGGAGGCUAGAGUGCAGGAGAGGAAAGCGGAAUUCCUAGUGUAGCGGUGAAAUGCGUAGAUAUUAGGAGGAACACCAGUGGCGAAGGCGGCUUUCUGGACUGUAACUGACACUGAGGCACGAAAGCGUGGGGAGCAAACAGGAUUAGAUACCCCUGUAGUCC